rnacentral:rRNA from 1 species
AGUGAACGCUGGCGGCAGGCCUAACACAUGCAAGUCGAGCGGCAGCGGGUUCCCGCGAGGGGAUGCCGGCGAGCGGCGGACGGGUGAGGAACACAUCGGAAUCUGCCUGGUUGUGGGGGAUAACGUAGGGAAACUUACGCUAAUACCGCAUGAGACCCUGAGUCGACGGACUGGGGGUGAAAGUGAGGGACCUUCGGGCCUCACGCGACCAGAUGAGCCGAUGUCGGAUUAGCUAGUUGGCGGGGUAACGGCCCGCCAAGGCGACGAUCCGUAGCUGGUCUGAGGAGGA